UACGAAGGGGGCUAGCGUUGCUCGGAAUCACUGGGCGUAAAGGGUGCGUAGGCGGGUCUUUAAGUCGGGGGUGAAAUCCUGGAGCUCAACUCCAGAACUGCCUUCGAUACUGGAAGACUUGAGUCCGGGAGAGGUGAGUGGAACUGCGAGUGUAGAGGUGAAAUUCGUAGAUAUUCGCAAGAACACCAGUGGCGAAGGCGGCUCACUGGCCCGGUACUGACGCUGAGGUGCGAAAGCGUGGGAGCAAACAGG
rnacentral:rRNA from 1 species